AUAGCUCUAAAAAUCAACUCAACCCAACCUGUAAGGGUCAGAUUGGAGCCAUUUGGUAAGGUCUAAUAAAAAAAUAUAUCAUUAAAUCAUUUAAAUUCAUUAUUGAAAAAAUUUACAAUACAUAAAUUUUUUUAAAUUAUUAAAAAGGAGUUAUGUUAUUUGAGUUGAAAUGCUAAUCCGAUACAGACUCAAGCUAUGCUUGGGGGGAAAUUUUUUAAUUUAGAAAAGAUAAUAAUCAACCAGCCCCAAAGGCCAAAGUCAUAAUUUUGAUAUAUAAUUUUACGAGUGGUGUCAGUAGAAAGAAAUUAUUUAAGCAAAGCUAAACAUGACAAUUAUCCAACAAGUGGACUAGGUGAAAAAAUGUGGGUUGCGAAGGACAUUGAAGAUCUUAACCGAACUAUGUCUGAGAGAAGCAGCGGAAGGUUACGAAGCCAAGAGAACCCGUGAAGACUAUGAUGGGGCUGGAAGCUCUAAUGACAAACCUCACCCAAAAAGGAUUGCAAGACUCCUAGAAAUUAUGGCCCACGGUAACUCUGACUGUGAGGGGUCAAGUGAGUACAAAGACUGUAGUGAAGACUGAAGAGCUAAGCGAAAGUGACCUUGAAGGUUAAUCAACUUUUUUCCCUGAUUGUUCAGUUUAAUUAUAUCGAUUUACUGAUAAGCUGAUAUGGCCUCAUACAACUCCCAAACAUGGUGAGUGAAACUAUAUCUUAUGCUAUGAGGAAGAGGAAAACUUGGAUCAUUUAUUCCUGAAGUGUAGUCUUUCUUGGGCUGUAUGGUUUUGGUCAGAUUAGAGCCGUAGAACUUUGUGCAUUUAUCCUUGCUCUUUGAAGCAGUUGUUGACUUAGUGAAUGGAGGAUCUACAUUUUCAAUAGCAGGAAUAUGUGAUGUUCUCUAGAUUGUCAUAUCAUAAAUCUGUUGGCCUUGUGGUACAACCUCAACAAAGUGAUGUUUGAGGGAGCAAAACAGGCUGGCAUAUGAAUUUUUAAUGCUCAGUAAAGCUUUGUUUUCCAGGUAUGCACAAGCCUAUCAUGCACAUUUGGAUCAGAGUAACUGUAGGAAAGUACCAAGGCGAGUGUGUCCAGUUGUGGAGGGAUAGCUGGUGUUGCUGACAGUUAAGCGACACUGGCAAAGACGGUGCAGAUGGAGUGGUUUUGCCUAAAUCAUGUGCUGGCAGGAAAAUUUUGAAGGUGUUGCAGUUCUGCCAUAUGCAGCUGAGUAGCUGCUAGAAGCCUAGCUGUUUUGCUCUGCAUCAUUCAUCUCUUAUAACAUUAAAGAAAUUUCCAGUAGAACUUGGCUUGGAUAGGGUGAUGAUUGUUGAUCACAAAGUGUUUCAAUUCAAAAGAAUCUAGAAAGGAUAUUUUCUGCAAGCAUAUUUUCUGCAUUAUUCA